CAGCUACGUGAUCCAAUCCAAGCCGUCCAUCACCCGAACCGACUCCAUCAUCGACAAUCCCAUCAACCAUCCCACCUUUUAUAUACGCCUUUCCCCUCGAUUGCCCCGUCCUCUCCUGCUCCCAUCGCCCGUCGCAGCCACGUCUUUGUUUCGUCGCGACACAAUCGUGAGGUAUACUAUAUGUUUCGCGUGGUCUGUUCUCUUUGAUUCAGGAUGUCUGAAGAGGUCGUUCCCGUGACUGACGAUUUGCCUCAUCAGUACAUGUCUAUCCCUUAAGCCAAGUUCGUCUGAGAUUUUCUGGCGAUUCGCCUGUGAUGGCCGAAUCAGUCGUUGAUGGGUCGGAUUUUCUGGCGGUUCGCCUGUACAUGUCUAUCCCUUAAGCCAAGUUGCGUAGCUAUAAUUUUGCUUGUUAGCAAGGCUAGAUCUAGAUCCAUACAUGUCUGUUUCCUUUGUUUAUUUCACAAAAUCCCUAAUUCCUUUUCAUGCAUGAGCCAAUAUAUUCUCUAGAUAAGUUAGCCGAUUUUCUAUAUGCUGUUCAGAUAUCGACAGGUGGUGUGUUCUCUUUGAUUCAGGAUGUUGUGCCAUCCGAAGAGGUGGUUCCUGUGGUGACUCUCUAGUAGAUGUCUAUCCCUUGAUCCAAGUUCGUCUGAGGUUUUCUGGCGGUCCGCUUGUGACGCCUGAAUCAGUUGAUGCGCCAGAUCCGUCAGUUUAUGUUGUAUCCGGGCACGCCGACAGUUCAUGUUCAUCGUCUGGGCGAAGAAGGCUCUUAGGUGCUUGCUGCUGUUCACAAGGCGCCCGAGGUCAUCCGAUUUAUGGUUCAUGUUCGUGGUUCCUUUAGCUAACCACAUGAUGCUUUGCCCGUCUCCAAACAUCACAGAAAGGUAAUUGUGUUGGUAAGCUGAUUGGUGCGCAUGUGUGUACGUGCGUGCCUAUUGUAUUAUUACCUGUUGUAUUACAUUGGUAGCAUAGGACGGCCUUUGCCAUGUCGGGUGCGCUCGCUUGGCAGGCCACGAGACAAUAAAAGGAAUAUUUUGCUGGUGUCCGCGGGGUGGAGAUCGCACGGGAACUAUCAAUUUCUUCUAUUUUGCCCGGGUUCUCCACCCUGCCAUGGUGUCUCUGUCCUCCUUUCAUGUGUUGUUGAUUCUGCGAUAUCCUCAUGGUACACCACGAUCCUACAUAGUAACAAAUAUAUCGAUAGGCCUGGGUGCCGCGAUAAUUACGUACUGAAGAUCAAUGAUAACUGAUUUCUGAAGAUCAGGGACAACUACAAAACCAAGGUACAUCUAGCUGCUUCUAUCAGGCAAGCACUUCGUUAUAUCAAUUUAAAUUUGCAUGUGAACGUCACCCCGACGCAAAACAUAACCAUACUGAACAACCGCAUUUUGGUUUGAUACAAGAUCGGUUCAUACCUGUAAAUCUUGUGCUCUUGCACCGCGCCAGCACGAUAUAUAGUACUGAAAUACCCAUGAGAUAUCAUUAGCAUUCUUUUUCACUGCAAUGUCUUUUGCUAGAAAAAAAGCGUUGUUAACUUUUUGCAGCACAAGCUUUUCCAGAAUUUUUGGUUACUUUGCAUAUUUUCGUCGAUGGUCGUCCAGUUCUCUGGUGCUUGCUGCUGCCCACAAGGCCCGGGAGGGAACUGGUCAUCCGAUUUAUACUUCAUGUUUGCUGAUCAAAUCCAGAUGACGUUCAUGGUUCCUUUUGUUGACAAGAUGAUGCUUGCCUGCCCCCAAACAUCACAUAAAGGUAAUUGUGUCGGUAAGCUGAUUGAUGCGCAUGUGUGUACGUGCGUGUUGUAUUUGCAUUACUUGCUGUACUACAUUGGUAGGGUAGGGCGGCCUUUGCCAUGUCGGGUGCGCUCGCUGGCAGGCCGAGACAAUAAAAAGUAUAUUUUAUUGGUUUGCGGGGUGGAGAUCGCACGGGAACUAUCAAUUUGUUAUAUUUUGCCCGGGUUCUCCACCCUGCCAUGGUGUCUCUGUCCUUCACAUGUGUUGUUGAUUCCCCAAGAUCUUCUUAAAUUGCACCACAAUCCUACAUAGCAAAUGUAUCAAUGGGCCUGGGUGCGGCGAUAACUACCUACUGAAGAGCAAUGAUAACUACAAACGAAGGUACAUCUAACUGCUUCUAUCAGGCAAGCACUUCGCUAUAUCAAUUUAAAUUUGCAUAUGCACGUCAUCCCAACUCAAAGCGUACAUGGUGGUUUACCCUUCGUCAAUGAGCAACCUUUGUUCAAUGUUACAAUGUUUCUUUUAGAAAAAAAGCCGCUGUUAACUUUUUUCAGCGCAGGCUUUUCUGAGAAGUUUUGGUUACUCUGCAUAUUUUCUAUUGUACAAUGUUAUGAGCUUUGUACCUUUGGUCGUAAUUCAACUAUUUCCUGUUAAUUCUCAUCCUGUUAUUGAAGGGCUUGUUUUCUCCUUUGUAUACUUGUCAGUCUUCCAAAUUUGAUGCCUUGUUAAUGGCCGUGAGGACUCGAGCUUGUCCAUAUGUUCUUCAUCAUACUUCGGUGAUCAGCUGGAUUCCAGUUGAGGUUUACUGGAUGUAUAGCCUGUCAUAUCAGAAAAAUUAACGAUUAUGAAUGCCUUUUUUUAUCAGCAAUGUCUAUUCGGGAGCAGUUGGUUUCACAUUCCAUGCUUGUACGUCUGGUUAUGUGUAAUCUUACAUUUGCAUGCAAUUCCUAGCCAUGCACAUAUGGCAUCAAUUUGAGCUCACUGGUUCCUGAUUUGAUUGCAUUGUCUCCAUAUUUACAGAAUCUAGCAUCAUAAAUGUUCUUUGUAGCUUAAAUUAUAUGAUUUUUUUCUUUCAAAACUAUCUUAAUAAAUUAUGAUUCGCGAUUCUAUAAAAAAAUGCACAAUAAUAUCUCUAAAUUUGGAAGUUGGGAUAUCAUUCCUUGCUAGUGUUUUCAUUUUUAUGCUUUAAUUUGUGAUCAGCAAAUUAAACUUUAGCAAGCAGGUUGUGGUAUUAGUAUUUUGUCAACUUACGAUGUCUACAGAUGGUUUGGUCCUAUUAUUUUGGUUAAUAUGAAAUAAAUAAAUCAU